GUUCCCAUUUGACUACAACAUUUUCUAGAUUUUAGUGGCUAUGCUUGUGGGAUAGAUUCAAGGUGCCAUGAUCUGAAGAGGGAAGGAUUUUCAGUGUCCUCCCUCCAUAUGAAAUGGCUGAACACAAAAUU
rnacentral:snoRNA from 1 species